AGAGCGGCGAUACCACAGCGGGGCAGAGUCCGCCUGCCUAGAGCGACUCCUGCGGGCGGAGUUACCAUAGAGAGGAGACUCGUUCGCUAGAGCGACAGCUGCGGGUGGCAAAUACCAUAGCUCAGAGGCGCCGGGUGGCGCUGGAAACGGAGUGUCCCUGAUUUGUGCCUUAAUUGUAGCAGGAGCCAUCCAGGCUUGAUUUAAAUACUUCAAGGGAUGAAGAAUCCAGCCCAUCCUUAAAUGUGGCCUUCAGAGGCAUCCCCUACACACCGGCAGAGCACCUCCACCAGAUAAGAAAGCAUCCAAGAUGGAGCAAGGAAGACAUGUUCCAGGAGGUGCUGCAAUAAUCAGAUGCAGAAAAGAGGGAACGCAGGCAGUGAAGGGAAAUGGAAAGGCUGGACAGAAAAGAAAAUGAGGCUUUCAUUAGGGAUGCAAUGGAGAGGAUGAUUAAAGUUAUGGAGAAGCAAACUGAGAUGCUUCGGUCCCUCAUAAUACUCCAGACUGAGCAGAUGGGUGCCUGCCCUUCCCUUCAGCACAUUCAGAACUCUUUCCCAUGCCCUCCCCAAACUCCACCCGCAAAUUCCUUUCCACAGUCUGGGACUUCUCGUUUUCCUGUUCACUCCAUCCCCACGGACACCUUUUCAAAUGAUAGCUGGACUAACACACAACUCUGAAAGUCAGCCCUCCCCAGUACCUCUUCCCCCUCCCCAAAGCGUGUGUGUGUGCUGGUGUAGUUUUUUGUGCAAUA